rnacentral:lncRNA from 1 species
AGUUUGUGAAAAUCAAGAUACAAAGGAGUCAACUGAGAACUAGGUUUUACAAUGAUUGAAAACUAUAGUCUGAACCUCACAUCUGGAAGUAGCAGGGCAGUAAUUUCCCAGACCACAUGUCUCAUUAGGGGGCAGGAGACUGAAAGACAUGGGUACCAUUUGUAGACCGGGGAGACAGAAAAAAGGUGAGUGUGUAGUGAAAAACUGAGCAAAUGAUAAUGAUAGGCUGAGCUGAAAAUUUGUAAAAGCCCUAGGGCUGAAGGGCUCUUCAAUC